UCGAACAAUCUCGAACAAUCUGCUGGCCGCUGCCGGCGCCGUCCAACCCGAAUGCCUCCUCUCAACCCCACAUGCGACCACCACCAAGACCCCUCCUCCUCGCUGUCUCCUCCACCACCUUCCCCAUCUCCCCGAGGGAGACCCCGACGCAGACCUCGACAAGUACGCCGCCGACCCCUCCGACGCAGACCUCCGCAAGUACGGGCGCUGUCCGUGCCCGGUGCCCCAACGCCUCUUCUGCCUCCUCCCUUUCCUGCUUCAGCACCCCCAUCGCCCAGCACCACAACCUCCCUUCCCCCGUCUCCUGCGUCGCUGAACUCCGCAAGUACGCCGCGGCUCCGCGCUGCUCACCCACGGCUGCUCUGAUGUGAUGCUCGGCUACUGCCUAUCCUUGCCAAACCUUUUUGACUGGAAUCCUUGCCAAACCUCAUCGUGCCCACCUGUGCCGCAUCCCAACUUCAAAUUUUAUAUCACCCAAAUCCGUGCGCCUAUCGUGAAUUGUCUGGAAAGCACUCUGCUGUCCGAAUAUAGAUCAAGUGGGCAGGCCGAUGGAACUCAUGCUGCUUGAAGCCUCGAAGUACACCCCAGAAGACACACACAAGUCACUCUCACAUCAUCAGAUCGAACGGAGUGUGAUGAGGUCGAAUUCACGGCCCUUUGCUGCUGAUCUGCUUCGUCAAGGAUAAGGCAUGGGCGUUGAUGGUGGUAACAGAUGGAACUAUCUACUGUGUUCAAGGUAUGCCAUAGCUACUUAAAAGUGAGAGCACUCUGCUGGAUGGAAGCACCACUCCUUGCCCGAAGAUAAGUGACUUUGGUUAUUUUAAGUCUCUCAGAUCAGAUAUCUAUGAUUUGUGGAAUGGGAGACCACGUGCACAGGGAGGCAGCACAAGGUGGAGAGGAAGCGCCGUUGAAGUAGAGCCCGUUUGGAGCAGAGCUAAAGGUUUUCUGGCGAAGAACUGCCUACUUCGUUGCUCUGUGGGAAAAGCUAUCCUCGGAUCAUGUCAGGGAACGCCUAUGGUGCAAAAGCUGGAACACCUGACAAGCGCUCCUCCUCCGUUGAUGUGGCCGGACCCUGGUUGAGCUUUUAGUCCUGGAGUUAGCCUGAUUCACUUGAUAUAUCUCCUGUCAGUGGGGGCAGUUUCCUCCCCUGAUAACGACUGCGGCUAUUUUAUCGUUUGCUCACUCAGUAGUUCUGUUCUUUAUUGAUUAUGGCUUGUAACCUGAGUGGAGCUAGAUGUUCUUUUCUUUUGUGUUUUAGACUUGUUUUCAGUCUUUGGUCUGUGUCUCGGGAGUCUGUACCUAACUUUGGCUUCUUUGCCUGCAAUGGAGCCGGGGCUUUUAGCCCUUUUUCUCUAAAAAAAAAGAAAUACCUCAUGCUUUUUAUAGUACACAUUCCCUUGACAUCCAUUCCAAAAAGUUUAAGCACCCAUGCAUUUUGAUCUAUUUUGGCAAGGCCAGGGCUGGGGAGAAUACCCACAUUGUAUAUAUGCUUAUAUUUCAGUUGAACACUUUUGAGCAAGUUCUUUAUUUUGCCAGUGCGUAGAUGUGGAAGACCGGCAUCCGAUGGCAAGAUGUUGAUGUGGCGCUAAGCAUGGCUGAUUCAUGGAGAUAUGCCACAAUUGCUACCGGAGGCCAUGAUGGAUUUGUGGUGGGAUGGCACAACCAAGAAGAGUUGUAUCAGGUGACUCAGUGAUAGUUUUGCUUUGCGAGUAUGAUUAUCUGAAGUGUUCUGGGUGUUCAUGCAUGAUCUAAUGCUUUGAGCGCAAUACUCAAAGUACGUAUCAAGCAUUGUUGCUUUGUCGUUCAGUAAGGAUGGGCAUCUGCUUGCUGUUCCAUUUCGAAGAGGGGGUAAAACUGUAAGAGAACCUACCUUUUCUGUUGCAAUUUCCCUACAAAUUGCCUGCGCUUGUGAGAACCUCAUAGAUAUAAUGCAUACUGUUGUAAUC